rnacentral:rRNA from 1 species
UACGUAGGGUGCGAGCGUUAAUCGGAAUUACUGGGCGUAAAGCGUGCGCAGGCGGUUUUGUAAGCCAGACGUGAAAUCCCCGGGCUUAACCUGGGAAUGGCAUUUGGGACUGCAAGGCUUGAGUGCGGCAGAGGAGACUGGAAUUCCUGGUGUAGCAGUGAAAUGCGUAGAUAUCAGGAGGAAUACCGGUGGCGAAGGCGGCAUCCUGGACCGGCAUUGACGCUGAUGAGCGAAAGCUAGGGGAGCAAACGGG